UACGGAGGGGACUAGCGUUGUUCGGAAUUACUGGGCGUAAAGCGCGCGUAGGUGGCUUCGUAAGUCCGUUGUGAAAGUCAAAGGCUCAACCUUUGAAAGCCGAUGGAUACUGCGGAGCUAGAGUACGGAAGAGGCGAGUGGAAUUCCUGGUGUAGCGGUGGAAUGCGCAGAUAUCAGGAGGAACACCAAUAGCGAAGGCAGCUCGCUGGGACGUUACUGACACUGAGGCGCGAAAGCGUGGGGAGCGAACAGG
rnacentral:rRNA from 1 species